rnacentral:rRNA from 1 species
GACGUAGGGGGCGAGCGUUGUCCGGAUUCAUUGGGCGUAAAGCGCGCGUAGGCGGCCCGGUAAGUCGGAUGUGAAAUCUCACGGCUCAACCGUGGAACUGCAUUCGAAACUGUCGGGCUAGAGGCAGGUAGGGGAGAUCGGAAUUCCCGGUGUAGCGGUGAAAUGCGCAGAUAUCGGGAGGAACACCAAUGGCGAAGGCAGCUCGCUGGGACGGUACUGACGCUGAGGCGCGAAAGCGUGGGGAGCAAACAGG